rnacentral:rRNA from 1 species
AUUGAACGCUGGCGGCAUGCUUUACACAUGCAAGUCGAACGGCAGCACGGGUGCUUGCACCUGGUGGCGAGUGGCGAACGGGUGAGUAAUGCACCGGAACGUAUCCAAUAAUGGGGGAUAACGCACCGAAAGGUGUGCUAAUACCGCAUACGCCCUGAGGGGGAAAGCGGGGGACCGAAAGGCCUCACGUUACUGGAGCGGCCGAUGCCGGAUUAGCUAGUUGGUGAGGUAAAGGCUCACCAAGGCGACGAUCCGUAGCUGGUCUGAGAGGACGACCAGCCACACUGGGACUGAGACACGGCCCAGACUCCUACGGGAGGCAGCAGUGGGGAAUUUUGGACAAUGGGCGCAAGCCUGAUCCAGCCAUGCCGCGUGAGUGAAGAAGGCCUUCGGGUUGUAAAGCCCUUUCGCAAGGAAAGAAAACUCAUCUCCUAAUACGAGGUGAGGAUGACGGUACCUUGAUAAGAAGCACCGGCUAACUACGUGCCAGCAGCCGCGGUAA